rnacentral:rRNA from 1 species
AACGAACGCUGGCGGCAGGCCUAACACAUGCAAGUCGAGCGCCCCGCAAGGGGAGCGGCGGACGGGUGAGUAACGCGUGGGAAUAUGCCCUUUGCUACGGAAUAGUCUCGGGAAACUGGGGGUAAUACCGUAUACGCCCUUUGGGGGAAAGAUUUAUCGGCGAAGGAUUAGCCCGCGUUGGAUUAGGUAGUUGGUGGGGUAAUGGCCUACCAAGCCGACGAUCCAUAGCUGGUUUGAGAGGAUGAUCAGCCACACUGGGACUGAGACACGGCCCAGACUCCUACGGGAGGCAGCAGUGGGGAAUCUUAGACAAUGGGGGCAACCCUGAUCUAGCCAUGCCGCGUGAGUGAUGAAGGCCUUAGGGUUGUAAAGCUCUUUCAGCUGGGAAGAUAAUGACGGUACCAGCAGAAGAAGCCCCGGCUAACUCCGU